rnacentral:snRNA from 1 species
GUUGAGACUGUGGUGGCCAGGAGCAUGCCACUGCACUCCAGUCUGGGUGACAGAGUGAAACUCCAACUCAAAAAAAAAAAAAAUUGGAACUAUACAGAGUAGAUAAGUAUGGCCCCUGUGCAAGGAUGACGUGCAAAUUCAUGAAGAAAUUAAAGUAAAU